rnacentral:rRNA from 1 species
UACAGAGGCCCCAAGCGUUACUGAGAAUCACUGGGUUUAAAGGGUGCGUAGGUGGUCCGUUAAGUUCGUUGUGAAAGCCCUGGGCUCAACCCAAGAACUGCUUCGAAUACUGGCGGACUUGAGGCUAGUAGAGGUCACUGGAACUGACGGUGGAGCGGUGAAAUGCGUAGAUAUCGUCAGGAACGCCAAUGGUGAAGACAGGUGACUGGGCUAGUUCUGACACUGAGGCACGAAAGCGUGGGGAUCAAACGGG